GGGAGCGUUCUGUAAGCCUGCGAAGGUGGCCUGUGAGGGUUGCUGGAGGUAUCAGAAGUGCGAAUGCUGACAUAAGUAACGAUAAAGCGGGUGAAAAGCCCGCUCGCCGGAAGACCAAGGGUUCCUGUCCAACGUUAAUCGGGGCAGGGUGAGUCGACCCCUAAGGCGAGGCCGAAAGGCGUAGUCGAUGGGAAACGGGUUAAUAUUCCCGUACUUGGUGUUACUGCGAAGGGGGGACGGAGAAGGCUAUGUUGGCCGGGCGACGGUUGUCCCGGUUUAAGCGUGUAGGCUGGUUUUCCAGGCAAAUCCGGAAAAUCAAGGCUGAGGCGUGACGACGAGGCACUACGGUGCUGAAGCAACAAAUGCCCUGCUUCCAGGAAAAGCCUCUAAGCAUCAGGUAACAUCAAAUCGUACCCCAAACCGACACAGGUGGUCAGGUAGAGAAUACCAAGGCGCUUGAGAGAACUCGGGUGAAGGAACUAGGCAAAAUGGUGCCGUAACUUCGGGAGAAGGCACGCUGACACGUAGGUGAAGUGAUUUACUCAUGGAGCUGAAGUCAGUCGAAGAUACCAGCUGGCUGCAACUGUUUAUUAAAAACACAGCACUGUGCAAACACGAAAGUGGACGUAUACGGUGUGACGCCUGCCCGGUGCCGGAAGGUUAAUUGAUGGGGUCAGCGCAAGCGAAGCUCCUGAUCGAAGCCCCGGUAAACGGCGGCCGUAACUAUAACGGUCCUAAGGUAGCGAAAUUCCUUGUCGGGUAAGUUCCGACCUGCACGAAUGGCGUAAUGAUGGCCAGGCUGUCUCCACCCGAGACUCAGUGAAAUUGAACUCGCUGUGAAGAUGCAGUGUACCCGCGGCAAGACGGAAAGACCCCGUGAACCUUUACUAUAGCUUGACACUGAACAUUGAGCCUUGAUGUGUAGGAUAGGUGGGAGGCUUUGAAGUGUGGACGCCAGUCUGCAUGGAGCCGACCUUGAAAUACCACCCUUUAAUGUUUGAUGUUCUAACGUGGACCCGUAAUCCGGGUUGCGGACAGUGUCUGGUGGGUAGUUUGACUGGGGCGGUCUCCUCCUAAAGAGUAACGGAGGAGCACGAAGGUUGGCUAAUCCUGGUCGGACAUCAGGAGGUUAGUGCAAUGGCAUAAGCCAGCUUGACUGCGAGCGUGACGGCGCGAGCAGGUGCGAAAGCAGGUCAUAGUGAUCCGGUGGUUCUGAAUGGAAGGGCCAUCGCUCAACGGAUAAAAGGUACUCCGGGGAUAACAGGCUGAUACCGCCCAAGAGUUCAUAUCGACGGCGGUGUUUGGCACCUCGAUGUCGGCUCAUCACAUCCUGGGGCUGAAGUAGGUCCCAAGGGUAUGGCUGUUCGCCAUUUAAAGUGGUACGCGAGCUGGGUUUAGAACGUCGUGAGACAGUUCGGUCCCUAUCUGCCGUGGGCGCUGGAGAACUGAGGGGGGCUGCUCCUAGUACGAGAGGACCGGAGUGGACGCAUCACUGGUGUUCGGGUUGUCAUGCCAAUGGCACUGCCCGGUAGCUAAAUGCGGAAGAGAUAAGUGCUGAAAGCAUCUAAGCACGAAACUUGCCCCGAGAUGAGUUCUCCCUGAGACUUAGAGUCUCCUGAAGGAACGUUGAAGACGACGACGUUGAUAGGCCGGGUGUGUAAGCGCAGCGAUGCGUUGAGCUAACCGGUACUAAUGAACCGUGAGGCUUAACCUU
rnacentral:rRNA from 1 species